rnacentral:rRNA from 1 species
GACGAACGCUGGCGGCGUGCUUAACACAUGCAAGUCGAACGAUGAAGCUGGAGCUUGCUCCGGUGGAUUAGUGGCGAACGGGUGAGUAACACGUGAGCAAUCUGCCCUUGACUCUGGGAUAACUGCGGGAAACUGUAGCUAAUACCGGAUACUUUCACUGGAAGGCAUCUUCUGGUGAAGAAAGAAUUUCGGUCAAGGAUGAGCUCGCGGCCUAUCAGCUUGUUGGUGAGGUAACGGCUCACCAAGGCGACGACGGGUAGCCGGCCUGAGAGGGUGACCGGCCACAAUGGGACUGAGACACGGCCCAGACUCCUACGGGAGGCAGCAGUGGGGAAUAUUGCACAAUGGGCGCAAGCCUGAUGCAGCAACGCCGCGUGAGGGAUGAAGGCCUUCGGGUUGUAAACCUCUUUUAGCAGGGAAGAAGCGAAAGUGACUGUACCUGCAGAAAAAGCACCGGCUAACUACGUGCCAGCCGCCGCGGUAA